rnacentral:rRNA from 1 species
GAUGAACGCUAGCGGCAGGCCUAAUACAUGCAAGUCGAACGGUGUCUUCGGACAUAGUGGCGCACGGGUGCGUAACACGUAUGCAACCUACCUUACAUUGGGGGAUAGCCUUUCGAAAGGGAGUUUAAUACCGCAUAAGACAGUAGCUGGGCAUCCAGCAGCUGUUAAAGAUUUAUCGAUGUAAGCUGGGCAUGCGUCCAAUUAGCUAGUUGGUGAGGUAACGGCUCACCAAGGCAAUGAUUGGUAGGGGAACUGAGAGGUCAAUCCCCCACACUGGCACUGAGAUACGGGCCAGACCCCUACGGGGGGCAGCAGUAGGGAAUAUUGGGCAAUGGACGCAAGUCUGACCCAGCCAUGCCGCGUGCAGGAUGAAGGCGUUAUGCGUUGUAAACUGCUUUUAUACAGGAAGAAACGACUCUUGCGAGAGGCAUUGACGGUACUGUAUGAAUAAGCACCGGCUAACUCCGUGCCAGCCGCCGCCGUAAAAC